UUGUUUCUUCAGUAGUACACAAACCAAACUAAAACUUAUAAUCUUACUUAUUUUGAUGUCAAAUUGGUCGAGCUAUCUCUCUUUAGGAUGAACAAGUUUAUGGGUUUUUUAACAUUUGCUACGCUAAUUGAUCAUUGUUUUUCUCAAUCUGCAAAUUCUAAGGAUUAAAACUGGGAGUGGCACUGCGAUGACGACGGACACGAAGGCGGUAGCCGGUAGGAAGGGGGUGGUUUGAUGUGGGUGGCUUGACUCCCACGGAUUACCCAUGGUGUCUGGAGGCCAGAAAAGAUCUACUGUGAUGCCGAACUCUGGCGUGCCAUGAUAGCACCAGUUAUGACCGCAGCCUUCCAGGUUUGCAUGUAACACUUAAUAACAGGAAAUUGUCGGUGAGGGCUGCAAGAUCUUAUUUACCAAUCCUCCAUGCACAUUUAGAAAGGUUCACUUGGUAUUUUCCAUCUCCGGUCUGAUCAAUGGUUCACGGACUGGACUGCUGACUAGAAAAAUGACCCCAUCUAUGCUUAUGGUGUUCUAUCCCGUAUUUAGUAGAAGAUUUUAUUUGUAGUUCUUUCAUACAGUAUAUGAUAAGGAUAGCUCCUUUAAUUGUGUGUCUCGAGUUCCAGAUAGACCAGGUCAUCCACAUGACCACAUGUACAUGUAUUUGUUUUUUCAGAGGGGGAAAAAGUGAAAACCAGUGAACACUUGCCUAUAGAAAAAUAAGGCAUCUUUCUUUGAGUGUUGCAUGUCUGGGAAAUUAGCAAUGGAGGCAUGAGCGAAAAUGC